UGGGGAAUAUUGGACAAUGGGGGGAACCCUGAUCCAGCCAUGCCGCGUGUGUGAAGAAGGCCUUAUGGUUGUAAAGCACUUUAAGCGAGGAGGAGGGUACUGGUAUUAAUACUACCAGCUACUGGACGUUACUCGCAGAAUAAGCACCGGCUAACUCUGUGCCAGCAGCCGCGGUAAUACAGAGGGUGCGAGCGUUAAUCGGAUUUACUGGGCGUAAAGCGUGCGUAGGCGGCUAAUUGAGUCGGAUGUGAAAUCCCCGAGCUUAACUUGGGAAUUGCAUUCGAUACUGGUUAGCUAGGGUGUGGGAGAGGAUGGUAGAAUUCCAGGUGUAGCGGUGAAAUGCGUAGAGAUCUGGGGGAAUACCGAUGGCGAAGGCAGCCAUCUGGCCUAACACUGACGCUGAGGUACGAAAGCAUGGGGAGCAAACAGG
rnacentral:rRNA from 1 species